rnacentral:rRNA from 1 species
GAUGAACGCUAGCUACAGGCUUAACACAUGCAAGUCGAGGGGAAACGGCAUUAAGUGCUUGCACUUUUUGGACGUCGACCGGCGCACGGGUGAGUAACGCGUAUCCAACCUUCCCAUGACUAAGGGAUAACCUGCCGAAAGGCAGACUAAUACCUUAUGGUCUUCACUGACGGCAUCAGAUGUGAAGUAAAGAUUUAUCGGUUAUGGAUGGGGAUGCGUCUGAUUAGCUUGUUGGCGGGGUAACGGCCCACCAAGGCAACGAUCAGUAGGGGUUCUGAGAGGAAGGUCCCCCACAUUGGAACUGAGACACGGUCCAAACUCCUACGGGAGGCAGCAGUGAGGAAUAUUGGUCAAUGGGCGAGAGCCUGAACCAGCCAAGUAGCGUGCAGGAUGACGGCCCUAUGGGUUGUAAACUGCUUUUGUAUGGGGAUAAAGUCAAUCACGUGUGAUUGUUUGCAGGUACCAUACGAAUAAGGACCGGCUAAUUCCGUGCCAGCAGCCGCGGUAAUACGGAAGGUUCGGGCGUUAUCCGGAUUUAUUGGGUUUAAAGGGAGCGUAGGCUGGAGAUUAAGUGUGUUGUGAAAUGUAGACGCUCAACGUCUGACUUGCAGCGCAUACUGGUUUCCUUGAGUACGCACAACGUUGGCGGAAUUCGUCGUGUAGCGGUGAAAUGCUUAGAUAUGACGAAGAACUCCGAUUGCGAAGGCAGCUGACGGGAGCGCAACUGACGCUGAAGCUCGAAGGUGCGGGUAUCGAACAGG